rnacentral:rRNA from 1 species
UGCCAGCCGCCGCGGUAAUACGGAGGGGGCGAGCGUUAUUCGGAAUUACUGGGCGUAAAGGGUGCGUAGGCGGCCCAUCAAGUUAGACGUGAAAGCCCCGGGCUCAACCUGGGAAUUGCGUUUAAUACUGGUGAGCUAGAGUACGAGAGAGGAAAGUGGAAUUCCUAGUGUAGAGGUGAAAUUCGUAGAUAUUAGGAAGAACACCAGUGGCGAAGGCGACUUUCUGGCUCGUAACUGACGCUGAGGCACGAAAGCGUGGGUAGCGAACGGGAUUAGAUA